CAGGCCGCAAGGCCCCCCGACUCGUCGGGGCGCAAAGCUCCGGGUCGAUCCCCUGCCCAAGGGACGACGGCCGAGCUGCCGAA
rnacentral:ncRNA from 1 species